rnacentral:rRNA from 1 species
UAAUACGUAGGUGGCAAGCGUUGUCCGGAUUUAUUGGGCGUAAAGCGCGCGCAGGUGGUUCGUUGCGUCCGAGGUGAAAUCUCCCGGCUCAACUGGGAGGGGUCUUCGGAUACGGGCGGACUUGAGGAGAGCAGAGGUAGGCGGAAUGCUGGGUGUAGUGGUGAAAUGCGUAGAUAUCCAGCGGAACACCAGUGGCGAAGGCGGCCUACUGGGCUCCACCUGACACUGAGGCGCGAAAGCGUGGGGAGCGAACCGGAUUAGAUACCCGGGUAGUCCACGCCGUAAACGAUGGGCACUAGGUGUGAGGGGUAUUGACCCCCUUCGUGCCGUAGCUAACGCGUUAAGUGCCCCGCCUGGGGAGUACGGCCGCAAGGCUA